AUGGAGAAGUAUUUGAUAAAGAAAUCAGCAAAUGCCAACACCACCACCCAGCCCCAGGGGGCUAUCACCAGCAACAAUUCAAGUGGCAGUAGUAAUGCAUCAAGACCUGCAGGAAAACAUAAUUCUGCUGUGCCUGAACUAGUUGAUUUGAAUAAGCUCCCUCGGGAUCCAGCUAAAAGGAAGCGAAUGGCAGAUUAUCACCCCAACCAACGUGACGAGAUAAGAAGGAAGUAUUUGAUUUGGGGACCUAAUCAGCCCCGCAAAUUGGAAUUUCCAUACAGGGAGAUUGGGAAGAAGAAAAAGAAGAGGAGAUUCAAUCCGGAUUGGUAUGAUGAUUAUGCUUAUUGGCUAGAGUACAGCGAGAAGGAGCACAAAGCCUAUUGCUUAUGCUGCUAUUUGUUUAGGGACAACAUUAAAGACAACCACCAUGGGCACGAUGCAUUUGUAGUAGAAGGUUUCAACUGUUGGAACAAGACAGAGAGAUUUGUAACUCACGUCGGUGAUCGUAACAGCUUUCACAACAGAGCACUCUAG
rnacentral:rRNA from 1 species